rnacentral:piRNA from 1 species
UUUGAGUUGGGCAGCUGAGGAAGAUU